rnacentral:rRNA from 1 species
ACGGGUGAGUAACGCGUGGGUAACCUGCCCUGUACAGGGGGAUAACAGUCAGAAAUGACUGCUAAUACCGCAUAAGACCACAGCACCGCAUGGUGCAGGGGUAAAAACUACCGGUGGUACAGGAUGGACCCGCGUCUGAUUAGCUGGUUGGUGAGGUAACGGCUCACCAAGGCGACGAUCAGUAGCCGGCUUGAGAGAGUGAACGGCCACAUUGGGACUGAGACACGGCCCAAACUCCUACGGGAGGCAGCAUG